rfam:Bombyx mori DNA, contig: Bm_scaf2_contig1585, strain: p50T/Dazao, build 2, whole genome shotgun sequence.
UUAACCAAAAUUGGUAUGGAGUUGAAACGUUUGCCUACGUUUGCCGCUAUGGGCGCUGUUCCAACUCCAUACAAAAUUGAAUUA